AAUGAUAUUUGAAACAUGUCACCCUAGCCGUGCCUUCGCUCUGGACUGGGAGGCGAGUCAGUCAGAAUCUGCAUUAUGGAAUGUUUUGGAUGACAAGCUUGUAUUUGCAAAUGUACACACCCUGUGAGAGGUGCUCUGUACAUACGCUGAGAUACUGUACAUAAAAUUGCCUCUGAAUCCCAAUCAUCUGAAAACCGUGUCCUCAGCCUUUGAUACCUUCAGCUGUUUUAUGAAAGUCCUCCAAGUGGAUGAAAGUAUCAACAACCGGAACAAGAGUUUUUCAUUGCCCUAUUUGAGAAGAGCUGCGUGAACGACUUUUAUAUUCAGGAUAGAGAUACAUUCAUCAAUCCAACCACCAGGAGCCGCACUGGACUCCAUCUGAGAUGACAGCAACCCCUCAAAUUCAGAAGCACUUCUCUAACUGACAACAUCUCGCAUGAAAUGAAGUUUGUAAAAUGUAAGAGCUUCAGACGCUAAAUGAUGCCAUAAAUGCAAAGAUGUUAUAUCUAAGCUCUUUAAAUAAAUCCUGUCAUUGAAA